rnacentral:rRNA from 1 species
CGACUAAGCGUACACGGUGGAUGCCCUGGCAGUCAGAGGCGAUGAAGGACGUGCUAAUCUGCGAAAAGCGUCGGUAAGGUGAUAUGAACCGUUAUAGCCGGCGAUGUCCGAAUGGGGAAACCCAGUGCAAUUCGUUGCACUAUCGUUAACUGAAUACAUAGGUUAACGAGGCGAACCGGGGGAACCGAAACAACUAAGUAACCAGAGGAAAAGAAAUCAACCGA